UGCUAGCUCAGAGCCACUCUUCCUCCCUCUCUCUCUCUCUCUCUCUCUCUCUCUCACACACACACAUAAUAUAAACAUGGUGGUUAAAAACUAAACAGUGAUAUUUGAACUAUUAAGGAUUAUAAACGGAUUUUGCCCCUAUGGUAUUCUCCACACAUGAUGUUUCAAAAAUAAAGACUGAAGCCUAGAAAGAAACUGGUUUCAAAACCCACUUAAAAGUAUUUUUAGAAUUUGUGUGUGUUUUAAAUACAAGGUAGGAAACUGAGUCUGGAACGCUGACUUCAAACAAAUAAGCAUUUUCUAUUUCACUCCCCAAGCCCCAGGAACAGUUCAGAUCUCAGAAAACCUAAACUAAAGGUCCACAGAAACCAAUUAGAGAUUUUUCUGGAGAGACUUUACUGAAAUGUUUGCACAAGAACAUGUUUGCAAUGAGUCAUAAUUUAUAGGACCUUAACGGCCAAUGCCUUAUGUGCCUUUCUUCCUACCUUCAAUAUCAUUCUCAAGCCAGCUGUUGAUAUAUUUCCAAGGGCCUGAUAAUUUUUAUAAAGUUACCAGAUCUUAAUUACCAAGGCUGCCAGCCAGCACCCCUUCUCAUACUGAUUUUUUAUGCUAUCCAAAGACAAGAGAACCUGAUUCCCUUUCUAAACUAUAACUCUCCCCAACCAGGCAGUUAAUGGCUUUCGCCAGCGAAAGGGCGCAGUACUUUUAAGACCCCCAAAGAGACGCUGAGGGCCCUCAGGGGUUCUCCAAGUAAAAAGGCAGUGGAGGUUAACCAGGAGCCGCUCUGGGCAAAGGCAGACAUCAUAACAGGAUAUGUCCGUUUCUAAAGGAAGCAAGAGCUGCAAUAGCCCGGGGGCAGGAAAGGCGGAGCCAGCAGCACCCAAAGGAAACGGGCGUACCAGGGUUUGCAGGCACCUGGCCUGCUUAGGGACUCUUGCUCUAGUCAGGUCCGAGGCUGGUGAGCAGGUGUCCGCGAGAGACCAAGCUCAGGCCUCCUGGCAGUAGUGGUUAUCAAGACGUACCCAUCUGCUCCCUGCCACCUCCGCCAAAGAUGGGCAAUGGGGAGAAGAGGAAAAGCCAACACCAGGCGCCUCGGCAGAUCCUUAGGCUCUCAGGAGUUCAGUGAAGAGCCACUUGAUGUAGCCGCACAGGCUGUCACGGAAGGGUCCUGGGGGCUGCGGAGUUAAUGGAGCCUGGAAGUCCACUGCAGCUGUGGUCAAGCACGGCACCAGAGUCACAGUUUUCUUGCUGGUAAUGAGCUGAGGUUGCUCCAUGGUCUAAAACAAAUCCAAGGUAUGAUGCUACUUGAUGCAAAUCAUGGCUACUGUGAGCGGCAUACACGCGAGGCGGACUCUGGGCCUGGAAUCUGCUGAAGCACCAGCUUCACUGAGUCGAUUUUGAGUUUUCCCUUUGAGAGCCACUGCUGAGAGGGCACAGGAUGUGGGCAGAACUCUUAGCACCCUUGGAUUACGGUUCCUUCCACCUAUCAGCUUUAGCAUGUGCCAGUCGAAGAGCUUGAGUUUCCGAAGUACAACACUGAGUCUUUAUGGAGUAGUGCAGCCAUGAGAUCCUGCCGGGGCUCUCCCGCAGCACCUCUGCACUUCUCAGGGAAUAUUUAUCUCUGCUGAUUGACCACUGUUGACCCAGGGUGAAGUGAUUGUUGUUCUGUCUUUGGAGAAGAGCAAAGAUGGCACCCAGGCAUACUGACAAAACUCGAGGACAUCUUUCCCUGCUUGUCUUCUUGCCACUGCUGUAAAAGGCAGGCUAAUUAGUUAGUUUCCUCCAGAAAUAUCCAUCUAAAUCUGUACUAGCCACAUCACAAUAUCUCUGUAAUACAGCUUUUAAGGCGCAAAGUGAACAUUGAUCCUGAUGUCUCUUUCCCCUUGAAUGCCAUGAUUUAAAAAAAAAAAAAAGUUUCCAGUCAAAUGUACAAAGUAAAUAAAAAAAGUCUGUCAAAGUACUAAAUUAAUAAGUAAUAGGAAAAUAGUUAAAACUCUGCACUUGCAGCAGACUCGGGGUCAUUACUUUUGAUGAAUAUUUUCCUUUCUAAGAGGCAUUGCUAAUAUAAGUAAGUAGACCAAAGAGGAUAUUUAAAAUAUAUCCAUAUAUUACCUUUUGUUAAGAUCUUUAACCCUGGAAAAUCACGUCCACAAUCAUAGCUCAUUAUCUUAAUUAGAUCUGUCCUACAUUAUCUCACAAUUUUUUCUCAUUACUUCAUAGGUGAUCAGCCUUUCAAAAAGAAUGCGAGCAGAAUUUUCUGAUUUUUUAUUGUGAUAGUGUCUGUGUUCUCUUUCAAACUCUACUUAGAUCUUUUGGGUGUCAUAAUGGUGAUGCUAUAUUUAAUUAAAAAUUACAUUAGAAAGAGAUUAAUAUUCAUUCUGAUGAAUGAACACAGAAUUAACUCAAGAAUUAAAAUCUCUAUAACGGCUAAUGAAGUGGACUAUGCUGGGAUGCCCAUAAAAACAGAUAAAUCAUAAGAAUGACUGAAAAUAUGAAGCUUUUCUUCCUAUUGUCAUGCUCUGUGUACAGGCAUUGGGCCCUUUCAGUAACAAGUCACUUCAACGCCUGCUUGUCCCCAAGAAAGCGAUGGCACCUGAUAUUCUUGACCCACUACCUUACCCUCAAACCCCAACCCCUAAAAGGGGAUAAAGAUUAUAUCACCAGAAAGCUGUACCUUCCCUCUUGCUUUCUUCCUCUUGAUCAAGUUAAAAACAUAAGGAGCAGCUGUGUUUCUAACAGCUUGUUAGUUAAAAUGGGUUUAUAAUCUUCGGAAGUGGGAAAUAAAUACUGCACUUUCAAUUUUCUGGUUCAUAAUAUAGAUUCUAGAGAAAAACUACAGUUGAGGAAGGCAGAAUUAUAGCUAUUUAUGCCAAAUAGGAAGGGAAAAUUGGAAGAUUAAGGUUAUUAGCAACUGUUUGUGAGGGCAGUUCUCUGAAAAGCAUAAAAUGUUGAGGCAAAUAUAGACAUUGUGGGGCAAAUGCUGGGACCUUCUGGGGCAGGUUGGUUCUGUAGGGAGGGACAGUCAUGUGACAGGGCAGAUAAUUAGGAUGAUGGAAGUUCACUGUGGGAGAGGGUUUGGGUUCAAGGGCAGAGGGCAAGUCCCAGCAGGGCAGGACAGGACCUCAGUGAGGGUACCACAGGCGAAAGACCAACUGUCUUUGUUGGCUACUGCUGGUGUUUUUCUAGGUAAUCAUUUCAUGGCAAAUGUGGUGAGUGAAAAAAUGGACAACAAAACCAAAUUUUGUUGUACCUUAAAAGUGUCCUUGAAAGAGGAUAGUACAGUGUGGUAGAAAGAGCUCUGAGCUGAAUCAAAAGUAAUUUCUAGUCCUCCUUUACCUAUGAGAAAUUAAUCGAAUUGCAUAACCUCUCUAGAUCUCAGAUUUCUUCUCUGAAAUUAGGAGGUUGGACUAGACAGUGAUCACCAAGAUCCUUCCAACUUUAGAGUUCUGGGAAACUUAUGGAGAAUAAAUCAAGUUUCUCCCGUACAAGUGAUAUGAUAAAAGCAAUAAUCCAGAUGUCGUGGGUUGAUUGCAAAAAUGGCCCAAGUCGUUUCCCUCUCUGUAUCUGCCUCCCUUGCAGUUGACUUUGCAGAUUUUUUCAUCAAGAGGUGCACCCCUUAAAUAUGACCUGGUCCUAUGAUUUGCUUUGAUCUACAGAAUGGGAUGGAAUUGAUGGUAUUCCAGGUCCAAGCCUAGAUCUCGAGAAGUUUUGUGCUCUUUUGUUCUCUCAUUUGGAACCCUGCCUCCACUAUGAGGACAAGUUUGGAUUAAUUCACUGGAGGGAUGUGAGAAACAUGUGGAGGAAAGCUGAGUCAUUUCAGCCAAGGCCCCUGAGUUUAGUAAGUCCCCAGCUGACCUGUUCGCUGACACAGACACAUGAGUGAGCCCAAAUGAAAUAAACCAAGCCCAGCCCAGGUCACCAGAGCUGUCCAAUCCAUCUAGACUUGUGAGAAAUAAUAAAUGGUUCUUGUAUUAUGCCAAUAAGUUUUGGAGUUUUUUAUGUAAUAAAAGCUAACUGAUACAUGAGACAGCUCUGGCUCUACCCUCCGUUCAUUCACCCAAGAAUUCAGUUCCUGGUAAAGUCCUCUCUCUCUGACCCUGACUAUUCCUUGGCAAUGUUUCAUAAAUGUUCACGAAAAGUCUAAUGAUAAACCAAGUCCCAUCCGCUUGAUCCUGCCACCAUUUCUCCUGGAUCCUGCUGUUCCAGCUGGGCGUGUUGAUACUGCACUAGUGGCGGCCGUUGCUCCCAGCUUCUACUACCUGGUACUCUGGCUUCAAGCAGUGCUUCAAGGUGCCAGAGCUUUGCUGAGGGCAGAGUGACAAUGUUACAGUAGUGCCUUGCCCCUCAUUUUGUGUUAUUCUCUGUUACAUAGUUAUCAAAGCUAUGUCAAUACACCUAAUGUCUUGAAGAAGUUUAAAUUAAAUACGUUUUAGGUUUUAUUUACAACCCUCUGUUUUCCUAGGGCUUAGAGAUUGGGCCAGGGAAAGAAAUGAAUGAAAAUGAGAUGUUAUACCCAGAACACUUCUCCCUUCAAUGAUUAAGGCUUUGCUGUUGAGUGAACUUUGUCAUGGCCAGAUCUCUCCUUCGUAAGGAUGACUCCUUUCCUAGGAGGCUCCUUUGUACUCCCAGUAAAUACACUUCUGUAAGUUUGCCACACCGUCAUAUGAGCCAUACCCAGAUGUGUUGAAAUCCUGGCCCAGCAUGAGGUUUGGAUAUUUUGUUGCAGUUGUUUUGAAAUUUGCUUCCUGAAUCCAGAGAGAGGAGCACUGGGAGCCCAAGAGGUAGUUAGGUAACUGUAACUUACACAUCAACUGUUUUCUCAUUGCAAUGCGUCUGUCUUAGCACGUAAUAUCUUAAUAUUUUCAGCUCACUUUAACACAGACACUGAGGGAAACUUUUCAAACCCAUCCUUCCUUAUUCGUUCACACCAAAAAAUUUAGUCAUCAACAUAAACCUUGCUAAAAAUAUUGUGGGGAGAAUGAGGAUGGGGUUUAUAUUGCAUAAUAUAGUAAUUAGUCUAAUCUAGGCUGCGCUGUGAUAACAUAUAAACCCCAGAACCCCAGUGACUCUCUACAAAUAAUUUGUAUUUCUCCCUUGUGCAAAAUCUGAUGCCUUCUUCCAUCUUUUUUUUCCCAGCUUUAUUGAGAUACAAUUGACAUAGAGUGUUGUGUAAAUUUAAGGUAUGUAACAUGUUAAUUUGAUAUACUUGUAUAUUGGAAAAUGAUUACCACCAUAGUGUAGCUAACACCUUCAUCAUGUCAUAUAAUUAUCAUUUCUUUUUUGUAAUGAGAAUAUUUAAGAUUUACUCUUCUAAUAACUUUCAAGUAUAUAAUACAGUAUUAUUAACUAUACUCACUAUACCCCUCCAUCUUUUAGCUACACCAUUUGGAUCACGUAACUUCCAGGGUCAACAGAGCUGGGAAAUGGAAACAACAGGAGAAGAUUUACGUGGAAAGUUACAUGUCCCUUUUUCUCAACUUCCACUAGCAUGAUCUGGUUGCAUGAUCUGGUUGUGUGAUCCUACUUAGGUGCAUGGGGGCUUGGAAAUGUAGAGAAACACAUGAAUAUUAGACCUCUACAGUCUGCUCUUCUAGUCAUCAAAUUCCCAAUUCUUCCCUUCUUCACACACGAAGGACAUCUCAACCCACCCUCAGGGGAGACACGCCAGAGUCCAAUCCAGUCACUAUAUCAAGCUCUACGGAACACAAGGGCCUCUCUGCCAGGUUCGCAUGAAAUUCUUCUUGAUCAGGUGAUCUAUGAACUGAAAGGAAACUGUAUGAACUUUCCCCCUCCACUGGACAUACACUGGUGGAAGGGGGCAGGACAACCACAAUACACAUUCCCACUUGGAAAGAAGAAGAUUAGGGACACACAGCAAAGAUGAAAUCCCACUGGGAAGAAGAGGUGAAGGCGCCACUAGACCUGGGGGUGGUGAGGCCUUAAUUGUGAGCCUUGAAAGGAGUUCUUUCAUCCAUUGUACUCCAUGGCUGCAAGCUGUGCCCUCGGAGAUAUUCUUUCUUUUCCAUUAUUCUCUGCCACCUCUGAUGUGGGUAUUGGGGAUCAUGGCCUCCUCGGGAGCUUCACAAUUUUCUCAGUGACCUUUCUUCUGAUAGGACACUGGGGACCCAGGAGUUGCAAGUCUCAAAUGUCAGUUUAAGUGCAGAUUCAUGGUUUCUUUGGCAAUACGGUUCCCUCACAAAUAUAGUAGGCUUCUGAUGUAUUUGCUUCCGGUAAGCUCCGUGUGCUAGUAAUCAUACCUAAAGUUCUUUUCUAGACAGAGUUCUAAAACUGCUUUGUUUCAUUGCUUCUCACUUCCUUGUAUUUCUCUGUCAACUUUAUGUCAAUCUGAAGAUGUUUGAAUAAUAGGUGGGAAAUUCACACACUUAAUCUGAUGCGUGUCCUCAGUCAUUUCCUCCAAUUGGAAAGUUUCACUGUGGUUAUGUUGCAGAAUCUUUUGAGAUCCCGUUUUACUGUUUGGGCUCUGGAAGUAGUCAUUUUUUCAAUUUGCAAGCCUCCAAAUUUCUGAACCAUUCCCAUCCCUUUCAUUUCUGUUUGUAAACCAGCCAAGAUUUUCCUGAGCUUAUUUCAUCCUUGUAAUCUUUUGUCAAACACAGCCAACAUUUGUUUUCAAGAUUCUCCCCCUGAAUCAGUGGGCUCAGAAGCACAUGGUCUGCCCCCCAAAUUACCAUAAGAAAUAAUUAUAGCAAAUGCUUUCUCACUGCAUAAAAUGGAUUACCGUUUUCCCAGUCUCCAACAUUGGAUUCCUCAUGCCCUUCUGUCUAAUUGCUAAGCCAUUUCUACACAUUUUAGCCUUCUUUGUUAUAGCUUCUUAUCACUGGUACAAAUUCUGUAUUUGUUACAAGGAUAGAUUAGAAUGCGCUGUGGAAAUAGAUAUCCUGUCCCUACCUAGUUGUCGAACACAAUGAAGUUUUACUUCUUCAUUGAAAAUCUUCAGGAUCCUGUCUUCUUUCAUGGGCCAUGGUUAUAAGCUGUCUCAGAUCAGAGGGGUAUAAAUUGUGAGGAAAAUGGAUAAGGAAGUUCAGGGUGACAUUUUGCUUAGCAAAUUUGGAUUCCAUGCCAGUAUUAUUGUUUAGGUAUGUUUAUUUGUGUGUUUAUUCAAUGUGAUUGAGAAAGUUUAUAGUGCCUGAAUUAUUGGUUUCCCUCCAUUGAGAAGAGGAACAGGUAAGAAUGGGGAGAGGAAGAUAUUUGAUCAGAUUUACCAGGGUGAAAACUAGCAGAAAUUUUGUGCCAGUGGACAGAUAAAACAAAAUCUCCUCUGAGUUAUAAUCAUAUUUAAACUUUUUGCAAAGGUGACUAAAUGGCUGUUGCACUUUCUUCUGGUGGCUUCUUGGUGGAAAAUAGACACUAUAGUAGUCCUUUCAGCAAGUUUGAGAAGUAGGCAUGGCUGGUAUCAUUAUAAUCUUCAUUUAAUGAUAUGGAAGCAGAGGCACCUGCCAUAGUUCCUGAAACAUUGAGGGUCUUGAAUAAAUGUUGUUGGGUGAAUGGAGGAGUGAACAACAGAUUGAAUGAGUCAAUGAGGCAGAUUAAACGACUAUUUCUAGAUUGGUUAGUAAAUCACACAAUCUAACCAAGUUUUGUAACAUUCUGUCACCCCUGCCUCAGAGCAGCUUCAAAAUGUAGGCUUACACUUCUGCUAUAAAUAUUUUCUUUAGAGUUUUGCUGAUGAAUUGAAGUUUCAUAACAAAAAGAAAGCAGAUGGCUAUGGGGAGGGGCUUAUGCUUGCUCUCUGAACUGUGUUUCUGGUUUGCUUGUUUAUGCCGAGUGUGCACGAAGGUUGCCAGAGCCUUAAUUUCAAACUGCAUCGUUUAAUAAAAUACAAUAAGGAGAAUUAAGAAGAAAGCCUGCAGGGGAACAUCCUGCUUAUUAUCUCUGUAAUGAGAGGACUAUUUUCUCUCCCAUCAGUUGCCAAUGAUGGGGUUUUUUGUUUCCUCUCGUCCGGGCACAAUUGUGAUAUUCAAUGAGAAGAGUGCGAAGUGCCACUUUAAAGCCAAACAUUCAAUUCCUCCUAAUUCACCAGGGACAGAAGGAUCAAGUUGUGCAGCUGGGAGGUGAUGUUUCUUCCCGGCAGCUGUCACUGAAGAGACACGUGCAAACCAUAGAAGUCAUUUGUCACAAGAACCCAUCCAGAAUUUGCUACGUGUGUCUCUCUUGCUAACGUGACAUGAAAUAGUGAAGCUUUCAAAAUCAGAGCCACUAGAAUCAGGAGGCCUGGGCUCGCCAGGAGGUAAAGGGAGACCUUCCUGAGCACUGACUGCCUCGGGUGGCCUGGUCCGGCUCGAGUCUGCUAUACAUUGGGGACAACUUGCCACUUAGAAGUUACGAGUCAUGGACAUGUUCACUGAAGCAAUAGAAUACUAAAUAAGAAAUAAACGCCUAAUAUUGACAAACUUUUUUAUCUUUAGCAUGAAAGUAUAACAUGAGGAAGGACCCAGAAGAAUGAUUCUAUUGCUUCUAGUCACAAUAAUAUUGUCAAAUUUUGUUUUGCAAAAUGGAAAAAUGUGUGUGCUUUCUGACUGAAAAAGAAAUAUAUUGUAUAACAUUAUCAGGAAAAUAUAAAGGAGAAAAUAAAAAUCACCUAGAAUUCAAUUAUCCAGAGAUAACCAGUUGUUAUGGACUGAAUGUUCGUGACCCCUCUCCCACCCAAAAUUCAUAGUUUGAAGCCCUAACCCCAUUGCGACGGUAUUUGGAGAUAGGGCCUUUGGGAGGGAAUAAAGGGAAUGAAGCCCUAAUCUAAUAGGGCUGGUUCCCUUAUAAGAAGAGGAAGAGAUAUCAGGGUUCUCUCUCUCUCUCUCUGCCAUGUGAGGACGCAGCAAAAAGGAGGCCAUUCGCAAGCCAGGAAGCGACUUCUCACCAAAAACCAUGCUGGCACCUUCAUCUUGGACUUCUAGCCUCCAGAACUGUCAGAACAUAAAUUUCUGUUCUUUAAGACAUCUAUUCAAUGGUAUUGUUAUGACAGCCCAAACAGACUAAUAUGGACUAAUAUUUUAUAUCCUCUAAUACUUUAAUAUCCUUCUGGACUAAGAAAUACAUAUACAUACAUACAUACAGAUAUAGCACUAUACAUGCUUUAGAUCAGCAUUAUCCAAUAGAAAUAUAGUGCGAAUCAUAUAUAUAAUUUAAAAUUUUUUA